rnacentral:ncRNA from 1 species
UGUACAAAAAGGUAAACCGUUCGAAAGAACGGGACACAAAGCUGCGGGGCUACAGCAUUUAUGCCAUGCCAGCCGAGCUGCCAUA